rnacentral:misc_RNA from 1 species
AAGUCGUAACAAGGCUUCCGUAGGUGAACCUGCGGAAGGAUCAUUCAUAAUAAGUGUUUUAUGGCACUUUUUAAAUCCAUAUCCACCUUGUGUGCAAUGUCAGGGUUGAUUUCUCUCGAGAGAUCAACCCCAAACAUCAACUAUAUCUCAACUCUUUGUCUGAAGAAUAUUAUGAAUAAGACAAUUCAAAAUACAA